UACGUAGGGGGCAAGCGUUGUCCGGAAUCAUUGGGCGUAAAGCGCGUGUAGGCGGCCCGGUAAGUCCGCUGUAAAAGUCCAGGGCUCAACCCUGGAAAGGCGGUGGAUACUGUCGGGCUAGAGUCCGGAAGAGGCGAGUGGAAUUCCUGGUGUAGCGGUGGAAUGCGCAGAUAUCAGGAGGAACACCGAUGGCGAAGGCAGCUCGCUGGGACGGUACUGACGCUGAGGCGCGAAAGCGUGGGGAGCGAACAGG
rnacentral:rRNA from 1 species